GGGAAGGUAGAAGGUGGGGUCUGCCGGACGCGUGUUCCUGCCACCAGGUGCCCGCUCCCCGCGAGGCCGGCUCAGGAGCAGGUAGGUGGGCGGGGGCUCGCGUCUCUGUUUCCGGCGGGUCCUCGCCCUUGUCCACGCAGCAGGGCUGUAGUCCGGGGAGGGCAGUAUUCCUGGCUAGGCUGGGGCGCAUAGCUGCCGUUCGGGCCUACCCAGCAGGUAAGUCUUAGGCCAUCGCCUGCGGUGUCGGCCCCGGGAGCAGCGAGACCCAAGAUUGCAUCAAACGUUUGCCCCGUCUCUGCAUAUGUGACUGGACGUGAAUGAUGCUUCAUUUUGGCACCCCCUUUCCCUGCUCAGGUAGAAUGUAAACAAUUGAAAAAAAUCCCUUCCCAAUCAGAAUACCACCCACAGGACAACGAAGAAAACCUAUCUUCAGUCCCCACCCACGAAAUGCUGGGGGGUGGGGAGGACUGGAAAAGGAGUAAGGGGAGAGGAAGGGUGAGCAGCUGCAAGAAGUCUUUACACCUCUCUGCGGUUCCUGGUAAACGCGCUCAUGUCCUGGGUAUGGAAGGGACUUAAGAAUUCAGGAAAGAUCAAAAUAACGGGCCUCUUCCCCACUCCCUCGCCCUCCCUUCCCCGCUGCUGGGGGGUUAGGGAGGCUCCGUGGAGCUCCAGCACUCUAGAAGGAUCGGGUGAGGCGCGAGGCCUUGCGGGCGGGUGAACCCAAGGUGGGGUGGAAGGCUCCAACCCGCCCAAUCUGAGCCCGAGGCCUGCUGAGAAGCAUGGGGGCCUUGGGAUAGUUCCAGAAUGAGGAUGUGCGUUUCUAGCUGCUUUGCGCCCUCCUCCCCCAAAAAUCUGCUACCACAAUUCCAACCCGGCGGCACGCCCCCAAGACUCCUUUGUCGCCCCAGGGGCGGGACCUGAGCUGUCGAUUUCAGGAGCCCUUCGUGACUUCAAAAGUCCUGGGCACUGUUGCUCAUGAGUGCUGCACAACUGUCGCCCUCUAAAGCCACCUCCAUCCCUCACUGGGCUGGCCUCCUGAGCCUUCGGUGAGGAAACGGGGUUCCGAGUUGCCCGCCUGAGAGCUUAACAGUCUGACUAGAAAAGGGCUAAUUCGCUUUCUGUGCAAAUCUCUUGAGCUAAUUAUUUAAUCUGAAACAUGGACAGGUAAAGGACCAUUGGCGGGCGUGGGGAGGGAGGUGUGGAAUCUUUCCCACACUUUUUGUCACCUUAAAGAAAAAAAAAACCCCUUUCUCCCCGUCCUGUACGGUUCCCCCUGGAGCCAGAAGGAAGCCCGGUGCCAGCCAGCCUUCCUGAAAGACCAAGCCCGCGCCAUCCGGCUUCCUCCAGUGGACGCCUGCAGGACCCAGGUGAGACACGGAACCGGUUGGGGACGCGAGCCAGGGAUCCUGACCGGUUGGGGGCGGCGAGCAAGGGAUCCUGACUUGGGGGCGUUGCCUCCCGGAAUCCAAGCGGCCUUUUGCCCGGGUCUCCCGAGAUGCAUCGAAAUUGAGCUCGUCCACACAGCCCCCUGACUGCGUGAUGCCCUUUUCUGACUUAAAACAUUCCUUGUACCUUUAUUUACACGAUCCAAGUUGCAGUGUGCCUAGAUUUUCCAGGAAUGUUUUUCUUGAAGGCAUCCAGCAUCUCCAGUUAGCAGUACUGAUUUUUUUUCCCCCCAACAAAGGAACACUACAUCAACACUGUUGGCGGGGACCUGGACACAGAAGACUCCUGUUUCAAGAAAAUACAAUCAUCUCUCAAAGGCUGUAAUUUAUAUGCAUUUUAAAACUCUAGGCAUUGAAAACCACCCAAGUGUCCCAAAUAGAAGGGUAAUAUAUAAUCAAUCACUCAGUGUAAUAUUAUACAUCCUUUAAAAAUGUUAUUGGGAAAUGUUUUAUGAUCUGUAAGUCCAAGGAAUCCUCUCCCACCAUUUCUUUCCCCCCGCUGUUCCCCCAUACCCACACUUCUUUGUUCCAAUUGGCAUGUAAAUUUGGUUUUCCCGCCAAAUGAGUCAGUCAUGAUGGGAACCUCAACUGAUUUGAACAGAUGUGUGUCAAUGUUACUUGGAAAACUAGAUGUCAAUAACCAGGGUCACAGAAAAAGGCAGUGGUCACAACUCUGUAAAAAUGUAUGCAUGCACACAGACAAGAACUAAAGUGGAACCCCACACAGGAAAACAGUGGGCUGUACUCCAGUGCUGGGACAUUGAAUGACUGUAUGCUGCUUUUGAUUUCCGUUAAUAUGGGCAACUGUCCAAUUAAAAAAAAAACUCCUAAGGACUCUGCAGUGCAAAUUGUUUUGCUGAUUGUUUUAAAACACCAUACCUAUCAACUCAUCAAGGCAAAU
rnacentral:lncRNA from 10 species